GGGCCCGUAGCUCAGCGUGGAUGGAGCGCCUGCCUGCGGAGCAGGAGGUCCGGGGUUCAAGUCCCCGCGGGCCCGCCA
rnacentral:tRNA from 1 species